AUUGAACGCUGGCGGCAGGCCUAACACAUGCAAGUCGAACGAGUGGCGGACGGGUGAGUAAUGUAUGGGAAACUGCCUGAUGGAGGGGGAUAACUCCUGGAAACGGUAGCUAAUACCGCAUACCAUCGGAUGUACCCAGAUGGGAUUCGCUAGUAGGUGGGGUAACGGCUCACCGAGGCGACGAUCCCUAGCUGGUCUGAGAGGAUGACCAGCCACACUGGAACGGAGACACGUGCCAGACUCCUACGGGAGGCAGCAGUGGUGAAUAUUGCACAAGGGGCGCAAGCCUGAUGCAGCCAUGCCGCGUGUAUGAAGAAGGCCGUCGGGUUGUAAAGUACUUUCAGCGGGGAGGCGUUACCCGCAGAAGAAGCACCGGCUAACUCCGUGCCAGCAGCCGCGGUAAUUC
rnacentral:rRNA from 1 species